GUGUGUGUUGUAUUUAUUAUUGUUGUUGUGUUGAUUUCCGGUGUUGUUACAUGAAAUUAUGAGAUAGGUUAUUCAUGGUUCUCUGAUACAAUGAUUGGGUCCUUUUUCAUAAGUUUACUACCUUAUUCUUCAUGUUUCCCUUUCCUAUUAUUAUUAUUAUAUUGCGUGCAGGUUAUUACAAGUACCCGNNNNNNNNNNNNNNNNNNNNNNNNNCGAUCCAGUAGAUUGCCUCGGAUCCGGUACUUGACGGAGACUUGUGAUGCAACUACACGGUGUUCGCAGCCCUGAAGUCCCCCUUUACAUUACUCUAGCUAUUUAUUUCAUUUCAGAUAGCUAUGCUUUCAUUCAGUCUAUUAUUUGUAGUACUCUAGUCGCUCGUGCACUUGUGAUACCAGUUCUGGGAAUUUAUCUAGAUAUCGUCAUUAUUUUUGCUAAUUCUUUAUUUCAGCUUAUUGGGCUUCAUUUAAUUUGAAUUGUUAAAAAUGGCUAAUAACUCUAUCUAACGUUGGCUUGCCUAACAAGUAAAAUAUUAGCCACAAUUACGGUCCCGAGGGUGGGAAUUCCGGGUCAUGACAAGUUGGUAUCAGAGUACUAGAUUGCCUAGGUCUCACAAGUCACGAGAAACCUUAGUAGAGUCUGGAGAAUCGGUACGGAGACGUCUAUACUUAUCUUCCAAAGGCUAUAGAAUUUAGGAAAAAAUUCACUUCUUUCCUUCUCUAUCGUGCAAUUUUAUUCUAUCAUUGAUGAUUGAACCAUUUUAUUCUUGUUCUCUUGCAGAUGGCGAGAGCACGCACAACAUCUGUAGCCGGACAGAAGCCGGAUCCCCCAAUGGCAGCUACUACCAGGGGAAGAGAGCGAGGCCGAGGUCAAGCUAGAGGCUGAGGCAGAGGCAGAGCUCAGCCUAGAGCUCGAGCAACAUCACCCGUAGUGGAGCCUCAAAUUGAUCAUGAGGAGGAGGUUCCAACUCAAACCGUACCCGCCAGACCAGCUCAGAUCCCGGAGGGGUUCAUAUCAACUCUAGUACUUCUGGACGUUCUAGUCCGCUUGGUGGGCCUUAUGGGAAAUGUGGCCCAGACUGAUGCAUUCCCGGUGGCACCGGCUAUCACUCAGGAUAGGGGAGGAGCACACACUCCCGCUACUCAUACCCCUAAUCAGGUGGCUCCCUUAUAUCAGACUCCAGUAGCCCCGUCAGUUGGGGUGGUUCAGCCGGUCGUCACGGCACAGGCCGGUAAUAGACCCGCUAUGUCUUCUGAGUAGGGGUGGGCGUUCUGUAUUUUGGUUCGGUAUUUAGGAAUUAUGGUUCGGUAUUUCAAUAUUCGAUUUAUCAAUUGUGUAUAGCAAAUACCGUACCAAUGUAGUUCGAUAUUUCUUGUUUGGUUCGGUACGAUUUCGGUACUGUUUCGAUUUAUCAAUUUGCAUAACAAAUUUGCAUGAUAAAGGUCUAUAAGAUAAUAAGAAAUGCAACAGCAAUCAUGCAUUAAAGAGUGAUGUACAGCUUUACUAGAGCAUUUCUUGUAGCUGCCUUAUUUGCAUAUAAGACUGAGGCAGCCAAGAUUAUUGAAAAUUUUGAAAGAGAAGUAUUUGGCCAUUACAUCCAUUGAACAAUAAAAUAUAAAAUAGACCAAAUUUUAAUAGAGAAAAUAUAUGAAACGAAAGGGUAAAAACAAAAAAGAGUUGGAUGGAAAAGCACGAUAAUUUCUUAGGUAGGAACAUAUUCCCUAUUGCUUAACUUUUUUUUUAAUUUCAACUCUGGCUUAUCUAGUUUUCCUUCUUUGAGAAACAAAUGUUCUAUUAAUAGAUUCCAGAGGCACUUUCAUGCCAUAGAAUCAGUAAAGAUGCAAGCAACAAAGUCUAAUAGUGGACCGUAAUUUCUGCACUUCUGUUGUGAGCUCAAAAUUGUACACACAAUGGUUAUGAGCUUUGGCUAAUGCCGAUUUUCCAUGACAAGUGUUGGAAUCCUACAAAGUGCAUGCCUUUUCAGAACUAUGGCUUGUUCAACCAAAUCAGAUUAUAAUUCUCCUGACGAUAACAUGCAAAUUAAGCUUAAUAGCAUAUUACUCUAGCGCUAAGAAAACGGAUGACACAGAAAUAAAAGAAGUGGGGCAUAUAAAUACUGGCACAUCUCUCAAGAUUAGGGCACCUGGCCGGUACCAUUGCUUAAUUAAAACUAGACUACACAUUGUAUUUGACAUAUGCUAUAUAACAUUUAGUAAAAGAAAUUGGUAUUUCGGUUAAACUGAAAUACCGAAAUACCAAUAUCCUAAUACCGAGGAUCGUACCGAAGUAUCGAACUUUUGAAAAUUCUGUACCGAAUUAAUUUGGUACGGUACAAUUUUUUAAUUUUUCAGAUUUUAAACCCACCCCUACUUCUGAGGCCUUCUUGAGGUUGGAUAAGUUUACCAAGCUCUUUCCUGUUCAUUUCAGCGGUGCAUAUUCUGAGGACCCAUAGGAUUACCUGGAUCGUUGUCACGAGGCGUUGCGCAAUAUGGGUAUUGUUGAGACCAAUGGGGUCGACUUUGCAGUGUUUCAGCUGACUGGUUCUGCAAAGAGAUGGUGGAGAGAUUAUGUAUUGACUAGACCACCUGGUUCGCCUGCACCUACCUAUGAUCAGUUUUCAUAGCUAUUUCUAGAGAAGUUCAUCCAUGUCACUCUGAGAGGGGAUUCCCACUUGCAGUUUGAGAGUCUUCAACAUGGUAGUAUGAUUGUUACCCAGUAUGAGACUCGAUUUAUGGACCCAGCUCGCCACGCCAUUAUCUUUCUCCCCACUAAAAGGGAGAGAGUGAGGAGAUUUAUUGAUGGGCUCACUUUCACUAUCAUGCUACAUAUGGCCAAUGAGACUGGAGAUGAUAUUACUUUCCAGAGGGCCAUAGAUAUUGCUAGACAGAUCGAGAUGGUUCGUGGUCAGAAGAGGGGGCCGGUGUCUGCUAAGAGUCAUAGUCAUUCCGGUAGUUUCAGUGGCGCCUCAUCUGGAGGUAGGGGUACUUUUGGUAGAGGCCAUCCUCCCAAGCCAUUUCAGUCAGCGCUUCAAGUAUCUCACAGUGCUUUAAGGAGUCGUGGUCUUUAUGUAUCUCAUCUGGGGCAAACAGCUUACAGUGCACCAUCAGCUCCAAUUAGUGCGCCUCUGAUCCAGAUCUAUGCCCGUGGUUAUCCAGCCUGUUUGGGUUAGCUUCAGCAGCCACAACACCAGGAUGGGUGUUUUGAGUAUGGAGGUACUAGUCACAUCAGGAGGUUCUGUGUGAGAUUGUUGAGCGGCAUGCCACAACAGAGUUCUCGUGCCAUGAUCCUGGUACCAAAUGCUCCACCGCCUACUCAGCCAGCUAAAGAAAGGGGGCAGGCAGCCAGAGGUGGAGGUCUGGCUAUUAUAGGUGGAGGUCAGGCCAUUAGAGGUGGAGUUCAGCCAGCUAGAGACCAUCCCAGAGACGUAGGUCAUAGUGGUGGGGGCCAGCCUCAAUUUUAUGCUUUCCCGACUAGACCUAAGUCAGAGUCAUUUGACGUCGUUAUCACGGGUAUUGUUCUAGUUUGCGAUAGAGAUGCUUCAGUUCUAUUUAGUCUGGGCUCUACUUAUUCCUACGUGUCAUCCUAUUUUGCUUCAUAUCUGGUUGUGCCUCAUGAUUCUUUGAGUACGUUUGUGUAUGUGUUCACACCUGUGGGAGAUUCUAUUAAUAUAGAUCAUGUAUAUCGUUCGUGUGCGAUUAUUAUUGUGAGUCUUGAGACUCGUGUAGAUCUCCUACUUCUUGAUAUGGUAGACUUUAAUAUUAUUUUGGGCAUGGAUUAGUUGUCACCGUAUCAUGUUAUAUUGUAUUGUCAUGCCAAGACAGUGACUUUAGCCUUGCCGAGGUUACCUCUAUUAGAGUGGAGAUGGACUCUUGGUCAUUCUACCAGCAUGGUUAUUUCUUAUGUCAAGGCUCAACGUAUGGUCGAGAAGGGGUGUCUAACUUAUUUGGCCUAUAUUCGGGAUUCUAGUGCGGAGGUUCCUUCCAUAGAUUCAGUACCUGUUGUACGUGAGUUUCUAGAGGUGUUUCCUGUAGAUCUGUCGGGGAUGCCACCCGACAGAGAUAUUGACUUCUGUAUUAAUUUAGCUCCAGGCACUCAGUCCAUUUCUAUUCCACCAUACCGUAUGGCCCCGCCGGAGUUGAAGGAAUUGAAGGAGCAGUUGUAAGAUUUACUUGAUAAAGAAUUCAUUAGACCUAGUGUCUCACCCUGGGGUAAGCCCGUAUUGUUCGUGAAGAAUAAAAAUGGAUCGAUGAGGAUAUGUAUAGACUAUCAACAGUUGAAAAAAGUCACUAUCAAGACCAACUAUUCGUUGCCGAGGAUUGAUGACUUACUUGAUCAGCUUCAGGGUGCCAAGGUAUUUUCGAAGAUCGAUUUGAGGUAUGGAUACCAUCAGUUGAAGAUUAGGCAUUUGAUGUCCCUAAGAUGGCUUUUCGGACUCGGUAUGGGCAAUAUGAGUUCCUAAUGAUGUCAUUUGGGUUGACAAGUGCCCCAGCAGCAUUUAUGAGUUUGAUGAACCCUGUAUACAAGCCCUAUUUGGAUUCUUUAUUGAUCGUAUUCAUUGAUGAUAUCUUGAUCUACUCUUGAAAUCGAGAGGAGCAUGAGCAACAUCUUCGGAUUGUACUUAGGACUCUGAGAGAUAUAUGCCAAGUUUUCAAAGUGUGAGUUUUAGUUGGACUCAAUCGCCUUUUUGGGACAUGUUGUAUCUGCAGAGAGCAUCAAAGUGGAUCUAAGAAGAUUGAGGUAGUUCAAAACUGGCCUAGACCUACUUCAGCUACAAAGAUUCGGAGCUUCCUUGGUUUGGCGGUUUAUUAUCGCCAGUUCCCGGAGGAAUUUUCAUCCAUAGAGUAAGCACCUAAUUUUUUACCAUACUUGUGAUUUUUCAACACUUUUUAGUAUGUAAAUAAUUUUAAGUUUAAUCUACAUAUUUUAACCUUAACUUCAUUUUUCGUAGGUUUAUUUAAGAAAAUUAAAAAUCACAAAAAUUAUAUGUUCUUGAUUUUAAAAUAUUUAGCUAGUAUUUUUAUUUUACACUCUUAAAAAAAAUAUAUUAAUUAAAACAAGUGUCAAUAAGUCAUUUCCAUGUGGCAAGAAUCUUCCUUAUCUUUUGUAACAAACUCACAUACUUUCUCUCAAAAAAUGCACAUGUCCAUGUCACCAAUUAAUCUCUGUACCUAGACCUAUAUAUUUUUCACUCACCCAACACACAAAAGGGAGAUAGAUCUGAAAAUAGAGAGAAGGGGGAGGGGGAAAAACAGAGACAAAAAGAAAGAGAGAUAGACGGAACAGACCCCUCUUCUACAGAGAACCCUAGCGCCGCCCCUAUCUCACUCUCAUUCUUUCACUCCCACACCCUCCUCUCAUCACACACGCGAAAAGGCACUCAAUAUAGGCUAGAAACAAAACUUUCAAAAGCUCAGAAUUCUUAAAGUGCUAUUUGAAGUUUCGAAAAAAAGGAAAUUAGCUAAAAAAUACAUAGAAAAGCUUCAACAAAGGAUUGAGAUCGGAAAUUAAAAAAAAACAGUAAUGAAAGGGAAUUUCAAAAUAAUUCUAUCUCCUACUGUUCACUCUGCAUCUCCUGGGCUAUCAACACCUCGAGAGUUGUUGUGGGUUUUUUGAGCUUUUCCGAUCUUAGUCGUCGGUUCGAGUUCUUGUCGCAGUUCGACUUGCCGUUUCUGAAAUUUUAAAGCUCCGGUGGAACUUCUAAUAUUAUUGAAGAGAAUUGUUCAAUAAAAGGUUCGUUUCUUAGUUUUUUUUAUUUUUCUUUUUGGAUAUUGAUUCAUAUAAUGUUUCGCUGUAAUUUUUUUUUCUUUCCGAAUUUUCUUCUUUGUUAUCUAUUAAUUUUGGUUGAUGUUUGUCUUAUGCGUAUUGGUGUACUGCUUUCAUUUGGUUAAUUAUAAAGGUUAUAAUGGUUACCGUUUCAUCUUUCUUUAUGUCGGCUAUUUUCUUUCAUUGAUUUGGAUUAUGUGUGAGAAUAUCUCUACUUGCUUUUUUUUUUAGUUCAGAAUGUAUAAUGUUUUGAGUCUUCCAAUUUUGAUUAGAAUUUUUAUUGCUCAUUUGUGAAAGAUUUAAUGGCAGUAGGUUGUGUUUUAGUUUGUGCUAUAACAAAUUGAGUUAUGGGUUUUAGCUUAAUUAUUCAUAGGUUGUUCGGAAAAUAUUUGAGAAAGCCAUAGGAUUUGUUUGAGAAUUAAUUUGGGCAUGUGAGGUUUUAAUUUGAUGUAAUAGACCUAAUGGUUUAUUUUUGUUUGGUCCAAUUUAAUAAGGGUAAAAUUGUUGUUAACUUACUUAUUAAGGAUGUGUUGAACUCAUAUACCUUUCCACAAUAAUACUUUAUCAUAAAUCACGAUCUCAAAACAAUCUCAAAUGUAGUAAUUAAUCAUGAACAUCGUAGCUUGCUUUAGACGCAAAUAAUAAAUCAUCGUGACCAUGGGUACGGUUCCCGUGGCAUGGUCACGAUACGUAAAUCCCAAUUCGAGUGUGCGUUUCACGUGAAUCGAUCAGAACUUCAAACAAUAAUAAUAAAAGUAAACAUGUUGUAAAUCGCGGGUGCAUUUCAUGUGGUGCGGUUUGCAAUGUGUAUCAAAACGACAAGUGUACGACAUCGUGACUUGUUCCAGAAAUAAAUUUCAUAAAUAUUAAAAGCGAUAUAAAAGCGGUAAUGCACAAAAGGUUUCAAAUAUGUAUAAAUCAGAUAACUAGGCCAAUUAUUACUAGUUAAGCGACCGUGCUAAAACCACGGAACUCGGGAGUGCCUCACACCUUCUCCCGGGUUAACAGAAUUCNNNNNNNNNNNNNNNNNNNNNNNNNNNNNNNNNNNNNNNNNNNNNNNNNNNNNNNNNNNNNNNNNNNNNNNNNNNNNNNNNNNNNNNNNNNNNNNNNNNNNNNNNNNNNNNNNNNNNNNNNNNNNNNNNNNNNNNNNNNNNNNNNNNNNNNNNNNNNNNNNNNNNNNNNNNNNNNNNNNNNNNNNNNNNNNNNGACUCUGAUAAAUAAAUAAUCCCAUUUCGAUUAAUGUCACUUAAUUUGGAAAAAUUCCCUUAUCCCAUAUCCUCUUCGGUAAAAAGGAGGUGUGACACAUAGCAGUCCCAUUGACUAGAUUGACCCAAAAGGGGUGCUCCAUUUAGGUGGUCGGAUGAGUGUGAGUUGAGCUUUCAGAAGCUCAAGACUGCUUUGACUAUAGCGCCAGUGUUGGUGUUGCCCACAGGUUUAGGAUCCUACAUGGUGUAUUGUGACACAUUGUGUAUUGGGCUCGAUGCAAUAUUGAUGCAGGAUGGCAGGUGAUUCUAUACAUGUCACGGUAGUUCAAGUUUCAUGAGAAGAAUUAUCUUGUUCAUGACUUAGAGUUAGCAUCCAUUGUUCUUGCACUAAAGAUUUGGAGGCACUAUCUUUAUCGCGUGUCGUGUGAGGUAUUCACGGAUCAUUGGAGUCUACAGUAUUUGUUCAAGCUAAAGGAUCUCAACUUGAGGAAAAGGAGGUGGUUAGAGCUGUUGAAAGAUUAUGAUAUCACCAUUUUGUAUCAUACCGGGAAGGUCAAUGUGGUGGCCGAUGCCUUGAGUAGAAAGGUUAUGAGUAUGGGUAACCUGACGUUUAUUCCAGUUGGAGAGAGGCCGCUAGUAUUAGAUGUUCAGGCUUUGGCCAAUCAAUUCGUGAGGUUAGAUAUUUCAGAGCCCAGUUAUGUUCUAGCUUGCACGGUCUCUCGGUCUUCUUUAUAUGAACACAUCAGAGAGUGUCAGUAUGAUGACCCCCAUUUGCUUGUUCUUAAGGACAUGGUAUGGCACGGUACUGCAAAGCAGGUUAAUAUUAGAUAUGAUGGGGUGUUGAAGAUGCAGGGUCGGAUUUGUGUGCCUAAUGUGGAUGGGCUUCAUGAGUUGAUUCUUGAGGAGGCCCAUAGUUCCCGGUAUUCCAUUCAUCUGCGUGCCGCAAGGAUGUAUCAAGACUUGCGGCAGCAUUAUUGGUAGAGGAGAAUGAAGAAGUAUAUAGUUGCAUAUGUGGCUUGGUGUCUGAAUUGUAAGCAAGUAAAGUACGAGCAUCAGAGGCCUGAUGGUUUGCUUCAGAGGCUAGAGAUCCCCGAGUGGAAGUAGAAGCAUUAGGGUUGUUCAAAAUCAAACCAUAACUGUUAACCGAAUCGAUGGUUUAUUAGCUUAUUGGUAUCGGAUUAUCGGGAUAAUGGAUGGCGAACGGAUUGAGAUUUUAUAAUUAACGGCUUAACAGUUUGGGGGCGGAUUACUCAAUUUUUUUAUCGGAUAAAUCGUUAACCCGUUAAGAAUUUUUAUAUUUACACUUUUACCUUUAUUGAGUAUUCAAAAAAUUUGUUCCAGAGUAAUAGAUCCCACAGUAUACUAUGUACAUGUUGGAUAUGAGAACAACAUAUACAUUAAAACAGAGAAAGUGCAGCAAGAUGCUAUGAUAAAAAAAAAUAGCCAAUGAGAAGUGAUAAUUAAGGUUGCUGCUUCAUUUGGGUGCAGUGAUUGAGAUAGUCUCAUAUCCAACAUGUACAUAAUAUACUAUGGGAUUUAUUGUCAUGUGCACAUAAAAUGCCUCGAAUAUACAUUAGAAAAACAUAUGACCGAGUUGUGAAGCUAGAGCAGCAAGAUACUAUGAUAAAAAAUUUAUUUGGUUUAGCCAAUAAACCGUCCGAUAACCUUCCGAUAAUCGUUAAUCUGAUACCAAUCCGCCCGUUAUCUUAUUGGAUGGUUAGCGUAUCACUAUAUUUAUAAUCCGAUAAGCCGAACUGUUAAGCGUAAUUAUCUGCUCGAUAAGAACCCCUAGGGAGCAUAUUACCAUGGAUUUUAUUGUUGGGCUCCCACAGACUUAGAAGAAGUUUGACGCAGUAUGGGUCAUUGUGGAUAAGUUGACCAAGUCGGCACAUUUUAUUCCAGUGGCAAUUACCAUUCUUCAUAGCGGUUGGCUGAGAUCUAUAACCGCGAGAUCGUACGUCUUCACGGUGUGCCCAUGUCUAUCAUUUAUGAUUGAGGUACGCAGUUCACUUUGCAUUUCUGGAGGGUCGUACAUCGUGAGUUAGGAACACGGGUUAAGUUGAGUACAAUAUUUUACCCCCAGACGGAUGGACAGUCUAAGCGCACCAUUCAGAUAUUGGAAGAUAUGCUUCGCACUUCCUUUAUGGAUUUCGGGGGUUCUUGGGAUCAGUUCUUGCCACUUGCGGAGUUUGCCUACAACAACAUCUACAAGUUGAGUAUUCAUACGGAUCCCUAUGAGGCAUUGUACUGGAGGCGGUGCCGUUCGCCAGUUGAUUGGUUUGAGCCGGGAAAAGCUCAGUUGUUGGGUAUCAAUUUGGUUCAGUAUGCCUUGGAAAAGGUCAAAAUGAUUCAGGAUCGACUUCGCACAGCUCAGUCUAGGUAGAAGAGUUACACCGACCGUAGAGUUCGUGAUGUUGCAUUCAUGGUUGGGAAGAGGGUAUUUCUUCGGGUUUUCCCCAUGAAGGGUGUGAUGAGUUUCGAAAAGAAGGGCAAGUUGAGCCCUAGUUAUAUCUCACCUUUUGAGAUUCUUGAGUGAGUGGGUGAGGUGGCCUACAAGCUUGCAUUGCCACCAAGUUUAUCAGUAGUCCAUCCGGUGUUCCAUAAGUGCAUGCUCUGAAAGUAUCACGGUGAUACGUCCCAUAUGUUAGAUUUCAGUUCAGUCUAGUUGGACAAGGAUUUGACUUAUGGGGAGGAGCCGGUGGCUAUUCUAGUCCGACAAGUCCGAAAGUUGAGGUCUAAGAGUUAUCCUUCAGUUGAAGUAUAGUGGAGAGGUCAGCCGAUCGAUACAACCACGUGGGAGUCCGAGUUUGACAUGCGGAGUAGAUAUUCACAAUUUUUCACCAAUCCAGGUACCUUUCUAUGUUCGUUUGAAGACGAACGUUUGUUUAGAGGUGGAGAAUGUGAUGACCCGAUAGGUCAUUUAUAGUUUUUGCCUUCAUUUCUAUGCUCCGAUACUUUGAUUAGCUCCAUUUUACGUAUCUCGAUUUGCGUGCGUAGUCUAUGUCUUAUUUCAGAAAAUUUUUAUGUGAAAAUUUUAAAAAAAUGCGAAUUUUAACCUUUAAAAUGAUUUGAGUUGACUACGGUCAACAUUUUGCAUAAACGGACCCAGAUCAGUAUUUUGACGGUCCCGGUGGGUCUGCAUCGUGAUUUGGGACUUAGUCAUAUGCCCAAAAUUUAAUUCGGAAGUCCCUAACUUGUUUUGAAUCAUUUUACCGAAAUCUAGCAUUUUUGAAAGUUCAAGAAUUUCAAGGUUUAACAGGUUCAGAUUUUGAUGUUAAAAUUUGGAAUAGUUCCGUAUUGCUAUUUGACACUCAAAAUUUGGUGCAAAACGAAGUUGAUUUGACGUGAUUUGGAAGUCCGGUGGUAAAUUUGCAUGUUCUUGAGUUUCUUUGAAAAUAUCAUUCAUUUUGAUGUUUGAUCCAUAGCUCUAGGUGGUAUUUUGUGUUUUGAUCGUGCGAGCGAGUUCGUAUGAUGUUUUUGAACUUGUGUGCAUGUUCAGUUUGGAGCUCGAGGGGCUUGGGUGAGUUUCGAACGCAUAGCGGAGUGUUUGAUAGAGUUAGGAGUCUGCCGGUGUUUUUUGCACAUGCUUAAGUUCUCGCAUUUGCGAUAGUAGGAUGAGCUAUGUCAGGUUCGCAUCUGCGAAAAAAUUGUUAUAAUUUGCGAUGGCGUUCUGGAGGAGCUGGUUUGCAUUUGUGAUCAAAGUGGUCGCACUUGCGGAAUGUCCCACGUUCGUAUUUGCGAACAAAGUAUCAUAUUUCCAAUGCCAACAGAGGUGUGGGGAGUUCUCUUUUGCGAGGACUUAUUCGCAUUUGCAGGGUUUGCAUUUGUGAACCCCAGGUCGCAUUUGCGAUAUCUGCGCCUCGACAAAAAGAUGAGAAAACGGGACUUAGCUCAUUUCUCACAUUUUCUCAACCCUAAACACCCAAGAGGUAAUUUUUCCAAGAGAUGUUCUUCCUAAAUUCAUUGGUAAGUGACUUUAAUCUAUUCCUUUUCAAUUACUCAUUACAUUCCAAAUGUUUUCAAUAUUAAAUCUAGGGUUUUCAUGGUAGAAAUUAGGGAUCUGGGUAGAAUUGGGAUUUUUGUAAAAUUGAGAUUUAGACCUCAAAUUGAGGUCGGAUUUCAAACCUAAUCACAUAAUCACGCAUGGGGGUGAAUGGGUAAUUGGGUUUUGGUCCGAAUCUCGGGUUUUGCACGAAGCGAGCCCGGGGUUAACUUUUGUUGACUUUUUGGGAAAAGGGUAAAGAUCUUUGUUUUAUCUAUUGUAAGUGAUUUCUCUAGCGUUGUUUGAUGAUAUUAAGUUGAUUUUGGUUAGAUUCGAUUGGUUUGGAGGCGAAUUUUAGAGGAAAGGCCCCGGUUUCGCUUUGAUUUGAUUGCAAAGCGAGGUAAGCAUUGGGUCUAACUUUGAUUUGAGGGAAUUAGGAACCCUUGAACUAUAUGUUAUGUGAAUUGUGUGUGUAACAGUGUAUAUGCGAGGUGACAGGUAUAUAUAUGCCGUCAAAAAAGUUAUUUCCAUGCUUUCCUGUAUUUUAUGAAUUUUCUUAUUCUAUGCCUUAACUGUUACAUGCUUUAAUUGCUUUCUAUGCCAUAACUUGUUACUUGUCAUUAAUUGUUCUUGUAUUGAAAUGUUCGUUCCUUCUAUGACUCUAUGAUUAAUUUCUACUUGCCUUAAUUGUCUUACUUGUACACUUUAACUAUCAUAUAUUUGGCUUGUCUUGUUGCUUUCGUAUUAAUUGUAGUAUUUCUUGAUUUAGUACGGGGUUUCUUUACUACUUUGCUUUCAUAUUCUUUAAUCGUAGAGAUUCUUGUGAAUUGAGUUGUUGAAUUGAUUACAUUUGUUGAAUUUGUUUAUGGAUCGGGUUGCACGCCGUAAUGAUUGUGAUAUGGUAGAAUAAGGGAGGAUUUUAUAUGUGAUUUGAUAUUGUGAAAUAUGGGAGGAUUAUGAUAUUAAUUAUGAUGAUAUUGUGGAUAGGGUUGCGCGCCGCAACAUAUUUUAUAUGUGAUUCUUGAUAUUGAUAUGGUACAAUAAGGGAAGAUUGCGUAUUGUACGGUAGGAUCGGAUUGCGCGCCGCAACGGAUUGUGUGUGUUGUAUUCAUUGUUGUUGUUGUGUUGAUUUUUGGUGUUGUUACAUGAAAUUAUGAGAUCGGUUAUUCUGGGUUCUCUGAUACAAGGAUUGCGCCCUUUUUCAUAAGUUAAUUAUCUUAUUCUUCCUAUUUUCCUUACCUUUUUAUUAUUAUUAUACAGCAUGCAGGUUCUUGUAAGUGACCCUCCUUAGCCUCGUCACUACUUCGUCGAGGUUAGGCUCGGCACUUACAGAGUACAUGGGGUCAGUUGUACUCAUACUACACUCUGCACUUCUUGUGCAGAUUUUAGAGUCGGUCACAUCGGUGGUCAGCAGAUUGCUUGGAUAUGGUGCUUGACGGAGACUUGAGAUACAACUGUACGGUGUUCGCAAGCCUGAAGUCCCCUUCUACAUUAUUCUAGCAAUUUAUUUCAUUGCAGAUAGUUAUGCUUUUAUUUAGACUGUUAUUUGUAAUACUCUAGUCACUCGUGCACUUGUGACACCAGUUUUGAUAUUGUAUCUCGAUAUCGCUGUUAUUUUAGCUUAUUCACUCUAUUUCAAUUUAUUUCAUCUUAUUGGGUUUCAUUUAAUUUGAAUUGUUAAAAAUGGCUAA
rnacentral:lncRNA from 1 species